GUGACUUGCUUCGACUUUGUCAGCUUCCAGGGUUCAUUCCACUGCCCAAAUAUGUAGUGAGUUACUACUGGCUUUGCUUCCUCCUUCAGCAAACGGCUGGACCACACAACUUCAGGACAGAGGAUUUUAAGUGUUGGGGUCAUUUUCCCUGAAACGAUUUCAAAUGACGGUUCUGCCAUUUCUGGGGCAUUGUAUUCCAUCAAGAUGCAAGCAUCCGCCAUCCACAUACCAGCCCUGGAACUCAUCCCUUCUCCCAGACUUGGAAACGCCAACUCUCCCUGACCAGUGUCGAGCCACUUCCUCAUCUUGAUAUAUCAGCCACUAUCCUUUCCAUCUUUCAGGCAACUCCAGCUUAAUGUCUCGAUGGCCUUGCCCUUCUAAAACAAAGACUGUUCUCUUUUCCCAGAUGACUUUUUCCUGUUCCCUCUACAGUAACUCCCCUCAUCCUUCCAGUCUCAAUUCAAUUGUCCCUUGGUGGGGUGGGGCGGGGGGGAAGCCUUCUUAAACCCUCCUCCCUCACAACUAGGUGAGGUCCCUUGUCUCUAAUAUAAGCUCCUGUAGCACCAUGGCACUUAUCCCAGUUGAGAUUUUAAAUAUAUUUCUGUGUAUUUGAUUAAAGUUUCUCUCCUCCA